GUACACUCCUGCGGGAGGCAGCAGUGGGGAAUCUUGCGCAAUGGGCGAAAGCCUGACGCAGCCAUGCCGCGUGAAUGAUGAAGGUCUUAGGAUUGUAAAAUUCUUUCACCGGGGACGAUAAUGACGGUACCCGGAGAAGAAGCCCCGGCUAACUUCGUGCCAGCAGCCGCGGUAAUACGAAGGGGGCUAGCGUUGCUCGGAAUUACUGGGCGUAAAGGGAGCGUAGGCGGACAUUUAAGUCAGGGGUGAAAUCCCGGGGCUCAACCUCGGAAUUGCCUUUGAUACUGGGUGUCUUGAGUAUGAGAGAGGUGUGUGGAACUCCGAGUGUAGAGGUGAAAUUCGUAGAUAUUCGGAAGAACACCAGUGGCGAAGGCGACACACUGGCUCAUUACUGACGCUGAGGCUCGAAAGCGUGGGGAGCAAACAGGAUUAGAUACCCGAGUAGUCCC
rnacentral:rRNA from 1 species